AACGAACGCUGGCGGCAUGCCUAACACAUGCAAGUCGAGCGGGGACUUCGGUCCUAGCGGCGAACGGGUGAGGAAUGCUUGGGAAUCUGCCCAGUAGCGGGGGAUAACGUUUCGAAAGGAACGCUAAUACCGCAUACGCCCUACGGGGGAAAGGGGGGGAUCUUCGGACCUCUCACUAUUGGAUGAGCCCAAGUCGGAUUAGCUAGUUGGUGGGGUAAAGGCCUACCAAGGCGACGAUCCGUAGCUGGUCUGAGAGGAUGAUCAGCCACACUGGAACUGAGACACGGUCCAGACUCCUACGGGAGGCAGCAGUGGGGAAUAUUGGACAAUGGGCGAAAGCCUGAUCCAGCCAUGCCGCGUGUGUGAAGAAGGCCUUCGGGUUGUAAAGCACUUUAAGCGAGGAGGAAUGGCUCUUGGUUAAUAACCUUGAGCAGUGACGUUACUCGCAGAAUAAGCACCGGCUAACUCUGUGCCAGCAGCCGCCGUAACAC
rnacentral:rRNA from 1 species